ACAUUACUAAACCUAUCACUAUCAUUGUGUACAUCACUAACACUAGCACAGUGUACAUCACUAACACUAUCAUUGUGUACAUCACUAACACUAUCACUGUGUACAUCACUAACACUAUCACUAUCAUUGUGUACAUCACUAAACCUAUCACUAUCAUUGUGUACAUCACUAACACUAGCAUAGUGUACAUCACUAACACUAUCAUUGUGUACAUCACUAACACUAUCACUGUCAUUGUGCUAUCAUUUUGUACAUCACUAAAACUACCAUUAUCAUUGUGUACAUCACUAAACCUAUCCCUAUCAUUGUGUACAUCACUAACACUAUCACUUUCAUAGUUUACAUCACUAAAACUACCCCUAUCAUUGUGUACAUCAUAAAAACUAUCACUAUCAUUGUGUACAUCCCUAAAACUAUCACUAUCAUUGUGUACAUCACUAAAACUGCCACUAUCAUUGUUUACAUCAUAAAAACUAUCACUAUCAUUGUGUACAUCCCUAAAACUAUCACUAUCAUUGUGUACAUCACUAACACUAUCACUAUCAUUGUGUACAUCACUAAAACUAUCACUAUCAUUGUGUACAUCACUAAAACUAUCCAUAUCAUUGUGUACAUCAUAAAAACUAUCACUAUCAUUGUGUACAUCACUAACACUAUCACUAUCAUUGUGUACACUAUGGCAGCGAAUUUGGUAUUAGUGAGAAUUAAACCUUGAGAUUCUGAUUGAUGAGUUACAGCACAUUGCUUGAGUGCAUUAACUGUGGUUACUUUCCAGAUUAGCAGGUUUUAAGCCCUGGAAGGGUUGCUGUGCCUGAAAUGGUCAUUGUGUAAAAUCCCAUCCUGCUAUCUGAUAGAUGCAGGCUUUGAUAAUAAUAUUUCACUUUCCAAUCUUCAUCUUCUGAGAGGAGUCAGGCGGUAGCCCCACCAUAACCAAUGGUCCCACUGUUUCUCAUUCUCGUGAAGGUGGUUCACCAGUAAUCUACCAACCCAUUUCUGAAUGUUUUGACACUUACCCUACAGUGUUGGGUGCCUGCAGCCCUUCCAGUCUUUUAUAUUCCCACAUUAUCAUCCCAACUCAUACCGUACCUGAG